rnacentral:rRNA from 1 species
AUUGAACGCUGGCGGCAGGCCUAACACAUGCAAGUCGAGCGGAGCGGCGUACGGGUGCGUAAUGCCUAGGAAUCUGCCUGGUAGUGGGGGAUAACGUCCGGCAACGGGCGCUACUACCGCAUACUAUCAGAUUAGCCUAGAUAGGAUUAGCUGGGUGGUGGGGUAAAGUGCUACCAAGGCGACGAUCCGUACCUGGUCUGAGAGGAUGAUCAGUCACACUGGAACUGAGACACGGUCCAGACUCCGACGGGAGGCAGCAGUGGGGAAUAUUGGAAAAUGGGCGAAAGCCGGAUCCAGCCAUGCCGCGUGUGUGAAGAAGGUCUUCGGAUUGUAAAGCACUUUAAGUUGGGAGGCGUUACCAACAGAAUAAGCACCGGCUAACUUCGUGCCAGUAGCCGCGGUAAUUC